rnacentral:rRNA from 1 species
AGUGAACGCUGGCGGCGUGCUUAACACAUGCAAGACGAACGAGAACGGGUUAUAGCUUGCUAUAAUUGUCAGCUAAGUGGCGCACGGGUGAGUAAUGUAUAGGUAAUAUGCCUCUUACUAAUGGAUAACAAAUGGAAACGUUUGCUAAUACCUUAUACUCCUUAUUAACAUAAGUUAAUAAGGGAAAGAUUUAUUGGUAAGAGAUUAGCCUGUAUUGUAUCAGUUAGUUGGUGGGGUAAUGGCUUACCAAGACUAUGACACAUAACUGGUUUGAGAGGAUGAUCAGUCACACUGGAACUGAUACACGGUCCAGACUCCUACGGGAGGCAGCAGUGGGGAAUAUUGCACAAUGGACGAAAGUCUGAUGCAGCAACGCCGCGUGGAGGAUGACACAUUUCGGUGCGUAAACUCCUUUUAUAUGAGAAGAUAAUGACGGUAUUAUAUGAAUAAGCACCGGCUAACUCCGUGCCAGCCGCCGCGGUAAUAC